CUGCGAAUAUUCUUGCUGUUCUGAUUUUGUAAUGAUCAGGGCCAUCCCAACAUUCACUAUAUUAAGACCAUGCAUGUGUCCCCUGACCCAAUUCUUUCCCCACGCCUGGUUUUAUCAAUGCUGGUGACAAAC
ensembl:snoRNA SNORA72 Small nucleolar RNA SNORA72